rnacentral:rRNA from 1 species
UACGUAGGGGGCAAGCGUUGUCCGGAAUUAUUGGGCGUAAAGAGCGCGUAGGCGGUCCGAUAAGUCGGCUGUGAAAGUCCAGGGCUCAACCCUGGAAAGCCGGCCGAUACUGUCGGACUAGAGUCCGGAAGAGGCAAGUGGAAUUCCCGGUGUAGCGGUGAAAUGCGCAGAUAUCGGGAGGAACACCAAUUGCGAAGGCGGCUCUCUGGGACGGUACUGACGCUGAGGCGCGAAAGCGUGGGGAGCGAACAGG